GCUUGUCUCAAAGAUUAAGCCAUGCAUGUCUUAGUGUAAAUAACUCUUAUGAAACUGCGAAUGGCUCAUUAAAUCAGUUAUAGUUUAUUUGAUAAUUGAAAAUUACAUGGAUAACCGUGGUAAUUCUAGAGCUAAUACAUGCUAUCAAGCCCGACUUCUUGAAGGGUUGUAUUUAUUAGACUUAAGCCAAUAUUCCUUGUGUCUAUUGCGAUGAUUCAUAAUAACUGAUCGAAUCUCAAAUUUGAGAUAAAUCAUUCAAGUUUCUGCCCUAUCAGCUUUCGAUGGUAGUGUAUUGGACUACCAUGGCAGUAACGGGUAACGAAGAAUUAGGGUUCGAUUUCGGAGAGGGAGCAUGAGAAACGGCUACCACAUCCAAGGAAGGCAGCAGG
rnacentral:rRNA from 1 species